UACAGAGGGUGCAAGCGUUAAUCGGAAUUACUGGGCGUAAAAGCGCGCGUAGGUGGUUUGUUAAGUUGAAUGUGAAAAUCCCCCGGGCUCAACCUGGGAACUGCAUGCAAAACUGGCAAAGCUAGAGUAUGGUAGAGGGUGGUGGAAUUUCCUGUGUAGCGGUGAAAAUGCGUAGAUAUAGGAAGGAACACCAGUGGCGAAGGCGACCACCUGGACUGAUACUGACACUGAGGUGCGAAAAGCGUGGGGAGCAAACAGG
rnacentral:rRNA from 1 species